rnacentral:rRNA from 1 species
UAUUGGACAAUGGGCGCAAGCCUGAUCCAGCAAUGCCGCGUGUGUGAAGAAGGCCUUCGGGUUGUAAAGCACUUUAGGCAGGGAAGAAAAAGUUCGACCUAAUACGUCGAGCCUUGACGGUACCUGAAGAAUAAGCACCGGCUAACUCUGUGCCAGCAGCCGCGGUAAUACAGAGGGUGCGAGCGUUAAUCGGAUUUACUGGGUGUAAAGCGUGUGUAGGUGGUUGUUCAAGUCGGUUGUGAAAUCCCCGGGCUUAACCUGGGAACUGCUUCCGAGACUGAGCGACUAGAGUACGGUAGAGGGCGGUGGAAUUUCCGGUGUAGCGGUGAAAUGCGUAGAUAUCGGAAGGAACACCAAUGGCGAAGGCAGCCGCCUGGGCCUGUACUGACACUGAGACACGAAAGCGUGGGGAUCAAACAG